rnacentral:rRNA from 1 species
GCGAACGCUGGCGGCAGGCUUAACACAUGCAAGUCGAGCGGGCGUAGCGAUACGUCAGCGGCAGACGGGUGAGUAACGCGUGGGAACAUACCUUUUGGUUCGGAACAACCCAGGGAAACUUGGGCUAAUACCGGAUAAGCCCUUACGGGGAAAGAUUUAUCGCCGAAAGAUUGGCCCGCGUCUGAUUAGCUAGUUGGUGAGGUAAUGGCUCACCAAGGCGACGAUCAGUAGCUGGUCUGAGAGGAUGAUCAGCCACAUUGGGACUGAGACACGGCCCAAACUCCUACGGGAGGCAGCAGUGGGGAAUAUUGGACAAUGGGGGCAACCCUGAUCCAGCCAUGCCGCGUGAGUGAUGAAGGCCCUAGGGUUGUAAAGCUCUUUUGUGCGGGAAGAUAAUGACGGUACCGCAAGAAUAAGCCCCGGCUAACUUCGU